rnacentral:rRNA from 1 species
UACGGAGGGUGCAAGCGUUAUCCGGAAUCACUGGGUUUAAAGGGUGCGUAGGCGGCGGCGUAAGUCAGUUGUGAAAUUCCCCGGCUUAACCGGCGGAAGUGCGAUUGAUACUGUGUCGCUUGAAUCAGGUUGAGGUAGGCGGAAUGUGGCAUGUAGCGGUGAAAUGCAUAGAUAUGCCAUAGAACACCGAUUGCGAAGGCAGCUUGCUGGACCUGUAUUGACGCUGAGGCACGAAAGCGUGGGGAGCAAACAGG